CCCGAAGAGUUCAAAAUUCCCCUACACUCUUUGGGGGAGGCAUAACAAAAAGACUUAACAGGAUUUCGGGUGUCCCAGUGCAGUUCGACUCUGCUCCAGUAUGUAGAUUAUAUUUUAUUGACAGGAGGCGAACACUGCCGUAUGUUUGAAAGUCAUAACGAACUUGCUCCAACGGCCCCAGACAUUUCAUCUCCAAGAAGGAGGCUCACUCCGCCAAACUAUCUAGCACAAGGUCACUCAAGGCAGGAUGACUCACACCUGUAAUGCUAACCCUUAGCUGAAGUGAGCAGAUAAUAGCCAUGAACGCGAAGUCGGUCUUAGCUACAUAGCAGGCUAUAAGGCUCCAUGAGACCAAGAAAUAUUCUCUGUGCCAGGUAAACCUGACAGCUUCUGCCGACACUGUCUAGGCACCACGUCAACUCAGUGAAGAGGGGGUUUAAAUGUUGACUUACAACGCUGAAGUCUUCAUGCCAGAGAGUUACAUUGUCAAAUUUUGAAUACAAGGAUAAAAUAUGCCCAGUUGUCUGGGGUUGGAAAGCAAGCUACCAUUGCUACAGAAUAGCAUAUGACAGGACUCUCUGCUGUGACAGAAAUAUUCCGGAUCUGUUUCAUUCACUAUGGUAACUGCUGGCUGAGUGUGGCUACUGGACACUUAACAUGUGAUCGGCUUAUGUGAGGAGCUGAACAUUAAUAUUACUGAAAUCUACAGCUAGCUUUGAAUAGUCACGCACGGGCAGAAUAGAGGGCGAUCAGCCAGUGAUCUCAGUGAUCUUAAUCGGAGAAGGAGUCCCCUCCCUCAGGCCUAAGCUGUCUCUGGUCACUGACCCUGCAGAAGUCUACAAGCCUUUAAGUAUCAUCGCUGAAAUAAAGGAUUGAUAGAUGCCCAGCCCAUGGCACAGGAGCAUGGAUCUCACUCAGAUUGGUCAGGAGAGAAGGGCAAGACCUCCAUUCAGCUUUGGACCAUUGUUCUGUGUGGAGAACUUCAUUUUCAGUGGCCGUAAGGCUGGAGGAGUAAAGGGAGGUUUCUAUAAAGGGUAUCCCUGACUCCCGAGAUGGUUAUAGUUUCCCAGAGAGACAAGAUUCUCAUGUGGUAGGCUAUUAACGUCAACAUCACCCCCUCUGGUCCAGAACCCGCCUCUGCUGUCCUUCCAGCUUCCUGUGUUCUUGGGAACCCGCAAUUGACUUUUAUUUUCUCUGUUAACCCACAAACUCCAUUCUGUCCACUCUGACACAGCACCUCAAAUACUGCAAAAUACCAUUUGUUUGGAGGUAAAGGGUGAAGUCAAAGGCGGCCAUGAUAAUCCUGAGGGGAUUAGCUCAAAAUUAAAGAGAUUGAGGAAGCAAAGAGUCACAGGGGGGGUUGGGGAUUUAGCUCGGUGGUAGAGCGCUUGCCUAGCAAGCGCAAGGCCCUGGGUUCGGUACCCAGCUCCAAAAAAAAGAAAAGAAAAAAAAAAAAAGAGUCACAGGGCAGUAAAAGGGAAGAGAACCCUGGUGAAUCAGGAAGAUUGGCAAGGUAGGGCCAGGAGCUCUCGAGCCUUGAAGGAGGAUGUACGUGGCUGGAGUACUGUAAAGCAGAGCAUCAUGGGAUUCUAAGCCGGGCCAUGUCAGUCAGUCUGGCAAGGAGUUCAGUUUCCUUGGGACGCCUGUUCUGCCCAUGUGACCAUAAUGUCUCCAGUCUAUACCUAGCUUGUGAGACCAGAGACGUUUGCCAGGCACUUUUCCUGGGACUGUCACGGCCUUUUCCCUGUAAUUGCUGGCCUGGUUAGAGCUGAUAGCGUCCACAUGCUGCACAGGGAAACGCAGAGGAGAACAGGGCACACGUAGGACACGACUGAGCACAGGAAGCCAGCUGGGUGUACGGUGGACCUGUUUCUGGGCUCUUCUUAGGCAGUUGUGACGAUCCUGCCACCUGCAAUUGAAGGAGCUCGAUUCUAGACCACCUGGGUGCCGUUGCCGAGAGUGGGAGGAUGUGAGAGUGAACGUAGCAGUGCGUGCGGUAGAAAUUUGGGCACAAGCCACUAAGGGUUUGAGCCAGGGAGUGUGUGUGGCUAGCGAGGAACGUGUACCGGGAGCUGAAAUUGGGCUGCCUAGUGUUUGGGUCUUCUAGGGUUGCUGGCAAGUAGUGGCCUCCUUCCCCAUUGUGUCCUCCAUGACACCUGCUUGUCCGUUUUCUUUCAUUUGGCCACUUUUUUUUUUUUUUUGAUUUCGAGACGAGGUUUCUCUAUGAGCCUUUGCUGUACUAGAGCUCACUUCGAUACACCAGGUGGGCCUCAAACUCCUAGCUCCACCCGCCUCUGCCUUCUGAGUGCUGGGACUAAAGGCGUGGGCCACCAUACUGGGCUCUGUUCGGCCACUCAGUAAGACACAUGAAUUCAGUGGUCUUCCCUCAGUUUCAUAGCAAGGCGUGUUCAUGGGUUUGGGCUGAGAUCGCAUGGGGACCUGGAGCCUUGUUCUAACUCUUCAGCUCACUCAGUGGGCUGAGAGUGAGUGCCACAUGUGCCUGAGGUCACCAGAUACCAUCAACCUGUGACUUAGGGCAGGGAUGCAGUUUCCCAGCUCCGCUGGGAGUUCUCCCCGAGGAAGGGCCGGGAACCCAAGGGUCCCUUCAUCGAAAUCAACUCUCCUGAUUCUAAAUAGAAGAGAAUGUAGAUUUGGGGCAGAACCAGAGGGAAAGGGAUUUCCCUUGGCAAAUUAUUUGCAAUUUGUGGAUUGGAGCUGACCCAGCUCUAAUUCCCUCUGUCACUGCGAGCGCUGACUAAAAUGUGACUGGCUUAUUAAAGAAGGAAAGCUGGAGAAGGUCCUCCCAGGGGGCCCAAAUGAACCAGGAACAGAGCCAAAGCCCACCCACAUCCUCCUGACAGGGGCUCAGGCCAGGGGCUGGCUGGCUCCUCACCUGCCUUUCUGUGUUUACUCCUAUGCAAUCGGUGCCUUUCUUUAGCAGCAGGAGAAGCAAACAGCGCUAGAGAGGGUCCAAUAGUCAGACAACAGGCGGCAUGCAAGGGAAUGCAUGUUGUUAGGUCAACAUCAGAGAAUACGAGUUUAUGUGUGUGGUGGGGAGGGGCAGGAUCUUUCCUUUGAACAUGCAUCGCAGGUGAUUCUGAGAAACAGUGAUGGACUUGGGAUCAGUAAGGUACGAACUCCGCUGCGUGGCUCCUCCACCCAUGGGUUAGAGAAGCCGACGAUGCUGACGAAAGUCCUAAGGGAGCCAGCGCCUCCUUCUUCACUAGGAAAACCUACUCUUGGUGCCAUCUGAUGGACAGUCAGGAGGCCUUUCAGCAGAGUCUAAACUUUAACUUUAACAUUUAACUUCACUUACUGGGGGAGGUGGUGUUGAGACAGGAGGAUUACAAGUGUGAGCACUGCCUGGGAUGUAGAGUGAGCUCAGGGCCAGUCUGAGCAAUACGGCGAGAUCCCGUUCAAGUGUUUUCAAAGCAGAAGACAGAGCUGAGCUUCUAGCUCAAUGAGCUUUUCCAGCGUUUAUGCAGCCAUAGGUUCGACUCUAGUACUGAGGGGGGUGCCUUUAUUGACUGAGGCCUUCAAGGAGCUUCUGGAUCUAGAAUGCAAAGGGCCUGACUUCUCUAGUAAGUUAUAAAACCAGACAGAAUAAUACACUCUGAGUGGGCGGCACUAUCGUGUAGCUAUAGCAAGUUAAAAUCUCUAUACAGCUAAUUUCUCUCUCUCUCUCUCUCUCUCUCUCUCUCUCUCUCUCUCUCUCUCUCUCUCUCUCUGCUCUAGCCUGCAGAACUCUGAAGAUAUUCCCUCCAGUGCUUGUUUCUUCACAAGGGCUGUAUAUAAGGCACAGUGACUAAGGGAGGGGAGAUUUACACAGAGCUCCAGAUAAGAUGCAUUUUUCCUCUUCUUUAAAUCUGCUAUGAGCUGACUCCUCAAGAGAAUCCUUUUCUCUGUUUCCCUGUCAUUCUGUAUUUCCAGGCCCCUCUCAAAUCAGUACUGAUGUGGGAGGUGGCCCACAGGUCCUUGCAAUGAAAGUGACCCCAUAGGAAAUGAAUCUGAAAAUUCCGUUUAUUAAAACAAACACACAGUUCAUGUGGGAUAAAGGUGUGCACAUCACAUUCAGGUUUCCCUGCUUCCGAGGUUUUUAAGCUGGGCGUGGCAGCUCACGCCUUUAUUCCCAAGCACUCAAGAGUCAGAGGCAGGGGGAAUCUUUGAAUUCGAGGCCAGCCUGGUCUACAGAACAAGUUCCAGACAGCCACAGCCACAUAGUGAGACCCCGUCUUGAAAAAAACAAAAACAAAAACAAAAACAAAACAAAACGAAGUCCAGCCAACCAAGAAACCCCCAAAAGCAAAAACCCCAUCAAAACAUAAGAUAACCCACCCCCAUUUUUUCUGUUUUCUCCUCUUCAAAGACACAUUCUACAGAUCUUAUACAGGAAAAGUGUGGCGAUCUGAACCGUGGUACAAUUGUUGGCCUGUGAGACACAAUAGACACAUAAUAAUUCAUCAUUUUCAGGAUUGGCUAGAAGCAAACACCAAGGGGGAAAAAAGCAUUAAAAAAAAUCUGCUAAAGGUCACCAGCUUGAUUUUCUCAAAACUCAUUUGAUUUCUUUGAGACAGGAUCUUCCUAUGCUGUCCCGGCUAUGUAGCUCAGGCUGGUGUGAAACUCUGGAUCCUCUAAUCUCUUGGGCACUGGGAUUCCAGAUGUGUGCCAUCAUGUCCAACAUCAUGUCUUCAAUGUGGGCGUGUGGAUUCUAGAUUUCACUGAGUAAGUGCUUGGCUUAGGCGUCAGCUCAGAAGCAGAAAAAUGUUCAUGUUCAUGUUCCUAAUUUAACCUCUACAUAGACCGUCACAUGUGUCCCUUCUCUUACAGUAAAUCAUGUGAUGCUCUUCCUGGAUCUCACACUUUGGGGUUAUCCUUUCUAACACUCUGCACACAGCGUCUUUUAUAUUCACAGGCCUAGUUGUUCAUGAAGACUCUCUCUGAACCUUGGAACAGUCCAAGAAUAGCCUACGCUUAGAUCCCUCGCCGUCACCUCCAUUCAGCCCCACAGUCGGAAGCCCUUCCUUUCCAGGACAACCGAAGGGGCCCGAGGAUAGAAUUAAAAGAGUGGUUUGUGAAGUUGGAUGAUAAAAAUCAUUCCUUUAUUUUUCACUAACCUCAAAUGGAAAUUUAUCAUCUCCUUUCAUUAUAAACACGAGCCGAGCAGGAGAGCGAGCCAGUCAAUAGAACAAGAUAUUUUCAGUCAUAAUACAAUCAUCUUCAGAUCUCAACAUCGUACUAACAGUCACCCACUUUAUGGUUAUAGACGUGGUAUUAGACACUGUAAAUAAAGGGACAUAUCUAUAACCAUAGUAUAUACUAUAUGGGCUUUUUAAAGUAUUUUUUUAGAGAUGUGCUAUUAUCUAAAGUGCCUUAUAAAAAUAUUCUGUAUUUCAACAUAAUUAGUUUCCUCUGUAAUGUAAAAGGAUCAUUCUGAGAAGGGGAGCAAAAGCUUCAGCGGACAGCCAGUUGGGUCAAG
rnacentral:lncRNA from 1 species